rnacentral:rRNA from 1 species
AGCGAACGCUGGCGGCAGGCCUAACACAUGCAAGUCGAACGAACCCUUCGGGGUUAGUGGCGGACGGGUGAGUAACACGUGGGAACGUGCCUUUAGGUUCGGAAUAACUCAGGGAAACUUGUGCUAAUACCGAAUGUGCCCUUCGGGGGAAAGAUUUAUCGCCUUUAGAGCGGCCCGCGUCUGAUUAGCUUGUUGGUGGGGUAAUGGCCCACCAAGGCGACGAUCAGUAGCUGGUCUGAGAGGAUGACCAGCCACAUUGGGACUGAGACACGGCCCAAACUCCUACGGGAGGCAGAAGUGGGGAAUCUUGCGCAAUGGGCGAAAGCCUGACGCAGCCAUGCCGCGUGGAUGAUGAAGGUCUUAGGAUUGUAAAAUCCUUUCACCGGUGAAGAUAAUGACUGUAGCCGGAGAAGAAGCCCCGGCUAACUUCGUGCCAGCCGCCGCGGUAAUAC